CCGGUUGAUCCUGCCGGAGGCUACCGCUAUUGGAGUUCGAUUAAGCCAUGCGAGUCGCGAGUCUUAGGGACUCGGCGUACCGCUCAGUAACACGUGGGUAACCUGCCCUAUGCUGGGGGAUAACCUCGGGAAACUGAGAAUAAUACCCCAUAGUUCACCACGCCUGGAACGGUGGGUGGACCAAAGCUCCGGCGGCAUAGGAUGGGCCUGCGGCGUAUCAGGUUGUAGGGGGUGUAAUGUACCCUCUAGCCCUCUACGCGUACGGGUGUUGAGAGACAUCGCCCGGAGAUGGAUUCUGAGACACGAAUCCAGACCCUACGGGGUGCAGCAGGCGCGAAAACUUGGCAAUGCGAGAAAUCGUGACCAGGGAACUCCAAGUGCAUCGGGUAAGACCGAUGCUUUUCUUGACUCUUCAAAGGUCUUGGAAUAAGGGGUGGGUAAGGACGGUGCCAGCCGCCGCGGUAAUACCGGCGCCCCAAGUGGUAGUCGCUUUUAUUGGGCCUAAAACGUCCGUAGCCGGUCUGGUACAUUCGUGGGUAAAUCAACCAGCUCAACUGGUUGAAUUCUGCGAGCACGGCCAGACUUGGGACCGGGAGAGGUGUGGGGUACUCUCAGGGUAGGGGUAAAAUCCUGUCAUCCUGAGAGGACCACCUGUUGCGAAGGCGCCACACUAGAACGGAUCCGACGGUCAGGGACGAAGCCUAGGGGCACGAACCGGAUUAGAUACCCGGGUAGUCCUAGGUGUAAACGCUGUGGACUUGAUGUUGGGGGCGCUCCGAGCGCACUCAGUGUCGAAGCGAAGGUGAUAAGUCCACUGCCUGGGGAGUACGGUCGCAAGGCUGAAACUUAAAGGAAU
rnacentral:rRNA from 1 species